rnacentral:rRNA from 1 species
UACGUAGGGUGCAAGCGUUGUCCGGAAUUAUUGGGCGUAAAGAGCUCGUAGGCGGUUUGUCGCGUCUGCUGUGAAAACUCAGGGCUUAACCCUGAGCCUGCAGUGGGUACGGGCAGACUAGAGUGUGGUAGGGGAGAUCGGAAUUCCUGGUGUAGCGGUGGAAUGCGCAGAUAUCAGGAGGAACACCGGUGGGGAAGGGGGAUCUCUGGGCCAUAACUGACGCUGAGGAGCGAAAGCAUGGGGAGCGAACAGG